rnacentral:misc_RNA from 1 species
GAUGAAGAACGUAGCGAAAUGCGAUAAGUAGUGUGAAUUGCAGAAUUCAGUGAAUCAUCGAAUCUUUGAACGCACAUUGCGCCCUUUGGUAUUCCUUAGGGCAUGCCUGUUCGAGCGUCAUUUACAAAUUCAAGCUCAGCUUGGUGAUGGGUGUCUGUCCCGCCUUUGCGCGUGGACUCGCCUCAAAUGCAGUUGGCAGCUUAUCCCUAGGCUCUAAACGCAGCAGAUUUGCGUCGAGCGUCGUGUGGACGGGCUCUCCAGUAAGCAAACCCCCCAAAAUUGACCUCGGAUCAGGUAGGGAUACCCGCUGAACUUAAGCAUAUCAAUAAGCGGAGGA